UACGUAGGGUGCAGGCGUUUGUCCGGAAUUACUGGGCGUAAAGGGCUCGUAGGCGGCCAACUAAGUCCGACGUGAAAUCCCAAGGCUUAACCUUGGAACUGCGUCGGAUACUGGAUGGCUUGAAUUCGGGAGAGGGAUGCAGAAUUCCAGGUGUAGCGGUGAAAUGCGUAGAUAUCUGGAGGAAUACCGGUGGCGAAGGCGGCAUCCUGGACCGACAUUGACGCUGAGGAGCGAAAGCUAGGGGAGCAAACGGGG
rnacentral:rRNA from 1 species